CCGCGCNCNGNGAAANUUNAGCGGNCGCGNAAUCCUAACCGGGCGAAGGUAGCGNAAACUUGUUCUUUAAAUAAGGACUAGUAUGAACGGCAUCACGAAGGUUACACUGUCUCCUUUUUCUAAUCAGUGAAACUAAUUUCCCCGUGAAGAAGCGGGGAUAAUCUAAUAAGACGAGAAGACCCUAUGGAGCUUUAAACACGGUAACAAGUGCUAUUAUACUUUAUAAAUUCCUGAAUUAAACAUAAUCUAGUAUCAUGAUUACUAGUUUUAGGUUGGGGUGACCGCGGAGAAAAACAUAACCUCCACAUUGAAUGAAAAAAAUUCUAAGCCCAGAGCUACAACUUAAAGCAUCAACAUAUUGACAUCAAUUGACCCAAUUAUUUUGAGCAACGAACCAAGUUACCCUAGGGAUAACAGCGCAAUCCACUUUAAGAGCCCCUAUCGACAAGUGGGUUUACGACCUCGAUGUUGGAUCAGGGUUUCCCAGUGGUGCAGCCGCUACUAAAGGUUCGUUUGUUCAACGAUUAAUACCCUACNUGAUCUGA
rnacentral:rRNA from 1 species